GGCGUGAGGUGUAGAGUCUAGGGUUUCAACUCUAGAUUUUGUGAGAAGAAAAAUACAAGAGUGAGUCUUAUUCAAUCUCUUACACCACCACCUCCUUGUAAGGGUUCAUCUUCUAAUCUGGAGGAGUUCGAGAGAUCUGAAGAAAUGACCUUGGAUCAGCCAUCUAGAGCCUUUGAUGCGAGCUAGCACUCCAGUGAAGGAAGAUCCUAUCAGGACUUUGAGUGGAUGAUCUGUAGAGGUCAGACGACCUAUGUGACUACUCAACAUCAGUGAGAGCUUCAUACUAUGCCUACCAAUAGUGAAUAUCAUCAAUCCAUGAAAAGAUGAUGAGUUCUGAACUCAACCAAUGUGAUCU
rnacentral:lncRNA from 1 species